ACCUACGGGGCGCAGCAGUGAGGAAUAUUGGUCAAUGGCCGAGAGGCUGAACCAGCCAAGUCGCGUGAGGGAUGACGGCCCUACGGGUUGUAAACCUCUUUUGUCGGGGAGCAAGACCCGCCUCGUGCAGGCGGAGCGAGAGUACCCGAAGAAAAAGCAUCGGCUAACUCCGUGCCAGCAGCCGCGGUAAUACGGAGGAUGCGAGCGUUAUCCGGAUUUAUUGGAUUUAAAGGGUGCGUAGGCGGACGGUCAAGUCAGCGGUAAAAAUGCGGUGCUCAACGCCGUCCAGCCGUUGAAACUGGCAG
rnacentral:rRNA from 1 species